UACCUGCAGCCCAAGUGGUAAUCGUUAUUAUUGAGCCUAAAGCGUCCGUAGCCGGUUCGGUAAAUCCUCGGGUAAAUCGGGCAGCUUAACUGUCCGAACACCGGGGAGACUGCCGGACUUGGGACCGGGAGAGGUCAGAGGUACUUCAGGGGUAGGGGCUAAAUCCUGUAAUCCUUGAAGGACCACCAGUGGCGAAGGCGUCUGACUAGAACGGAUCCGACGGUAAGGGACGAAACCCUGGGGCGCAAAC
rnacentral:rRNA from 1 species